UACGGGGGGGGCAAGCGUUGUUCGGAAUUGCUGGGCGUAAAGGGUGCGUAGGUGGCGCUGUAAGUCGGGUGUGAAAUCCUGAGGCUUAACCUCGGAACUGCAUUCGAUACUGCGGUGCUUGAGGACUGGAGAGGAGACUGGAAUUCAUGGUGUAGCAGUGAAAUGCGUAGAGAUCAUGAGGAAGACCAGUGGCGAAGGCGGGUCUCUGGACAGUUCCUGACACUGAGGCACGAAGGCCAGGGGAGCAAACGGG
rnacentral:rRNA from 1 species